UGGGGAAUAUUGCACAAUGGGGGAAACCCUGAUCCAGCGACGCCGCGUGAGCGAAGAAGGUUUUCGAAUCGUAAAGCUCUGUCCUAUGAGAAGAUAAUGACGGUAUCAUAGGAGGAAGCCCCGGCUAAAUACGUGCCAGCAGCCGCGGUAAUACGUAUGGGGCGAGCGUUGUCCGGAAUUAUUGGGCGUAAAGGGUACGUAGGCGGUCUAUUAAGUCAGGUGUGAAAGCGUGAGGCUUAACCUCAUUAAGCACUUGAAACUGAUAGACUUGAGUGAAGGAGAGGAAAGUGGAAUUCCUAGUGUAGCGGUGAAAUGCGUAGAUAUUAGGAGGAAUACCGGUGGCGAAGGCGACUUUCUGGACUUUUACUGACGCUCAGGUACGAAAGCGUGGGGAGCAAACAGG
rnacentral:rRNA from 1 species